CGGUGAGCAACCGUUUCGCCCGUCCCAUCUGCGCUCUCAUGGCUUAUUUUAUUGUUGAAUUUUCUGUUGUUUUUAUCUGAUUUGUUUUGAAAUUUGUCACUAACAGUAAUAUAUGAUUAGCUAUUUAUUACAUAGGUAAUUGGUCCAAUGCAUCUGCUGAUCGUAUUAUGUCAAGGUCGACAUUCUCAUUGUUUGUCUUUGAGCGAAGGUCGAACAACGCUGCUCGGUUAGUCCGGAAAAUACGAGGAAAUUCAUCCGUUUUCAAGGCAUUAUUCGAAUGCCAGCCAGGCCAUUCAAUUUAAAGGUUUCCAUAAUAUUUUCGAACAGGGCAUUGUGACGGUAAAUCUGGCUAUUACGUCAUUAUCUCUGUCUAUAUUAACGUUUUCAGCAUUAUUUUAUAUUUGUGGAAGGGAUUUCUUUAUUGUUCAAUGCCGGUCGUGCGCAGCGACUGUGGCUUUUGUUGGUUACCUAAUUUCAGAGCCAGCCGUAAGCGGUACACGAAGUUGCGAAGUGAGAGGCCGUCACAACCGGUCUGUUCGGCUCACUCGACCGAAAGAUAUACAUACCAACUAACAACUACAUCUACAUCGUAGUCUCGGUUUUAUUAACUGUGCAGUCCAGGCUGUUGAAUAUGCAAGCUAUCCGUGAUGUAGAAGUAAUAAGUUCUUAUUUGUUUCUAAGAACCGUUCGAUUUACCGGCCCUGAUAAUACAGACUAUUGGUCGGGACAAACCCGGACGCAAAACGCGAUCGUGCGCCCCAGCCUCGAAUUAACGUGCUAUAUCUUAUUGACGCAACAUCGCGGAGGUGGUACGUGUCGUUUAAAGCAAAAUGAACUUUAAACACAAGGAACCGUGAAUACAUUUUUACAAAAUUUAUUCCGAUAUUGCCAUACGUCAGCAAGCAGUCGACGAUAAUAAAUGUAUCGCUUCGAAGCGAAUACUAGCGGGAAAUACACGCGACCGCGUUGUGAUCGCCAUUCGACAUCCAGAAGGGGUUAAUGUUCCAAAUCGAAACAAACAAAAUGAUAUAGCCAUCAAUCUAGGGCAGGUAAUACUUUAGAAACAAAAUAAUGGUGACUUUUAGUAACAAUAAAAGCACAACUUUAGA